CAGCAGUGGCGGGUUCCAGUUACGAUAGCGCCUCUGGCUCGAAGCGGGUCCGGAGCCCAGCACAUCGAUGCUGGAGGGUGAUGGAAUGCUCCAGAAGACCCAGCACUCUGAGUCCCCGGCAGAUCUCUCUCCACCUGGCUCUGCCUCCUGUCACUGUUGAAGGCUUCAUUUCUCCCAAGGGCCCGAGGCAGGGGAGAGGAUGCCCGUCUCUUAGGGUCUCGCAGACCACCUGGGGUUGGCCCCAGCACAGAGAAUUCCUCCCUGGCAUCUUCGCCUAGGACACAGGUAUAACAGAGUUUGCUCCUGCCUUCUGAGGCUCCCGAGAUCUCCGGAAGGAAAGAUCCGCUGGAGAAGUCCCCUGGCCCAUCAUGCGCCUCCGCGCCUCACCACCCCAGCCCUGAGCCAUUCUAAGGAAACGCAGCUCUGGGACAAAGAGGCAACUGGGCUCCAUCCAGCAGCCCCGCUACGGACACGAAGCACAGAAAAACAAGCACCUGAGAGACCGUGGGACCCCGCCGGCAGCCAGCAUCCUGCUCAACCUCCAAAUUCGAGUCCCUCACCUGUCAGAAGUCUCCAAGGACCCAGUAGUCUACUCCUUGGCCUCCAGUGAUCAAACUAUCCCAGAAAAAGACAGAACUCGCUCCCAUUGGCUGAAAAUCACCCACAGCACACCUAGUCCAGGGAUAGAUAAUAGAUCUGGAAUAGAUCUCCAUUCCGUCGAUCACUGAGGACUCUGGGAGUGCUGUGUUGAAGAGGAUUCUGAAGUUCGGCCUCAACUGAGCAGGAAAGAGCACAGUGAUCAAUUCGUAACGUUUGCCAACGGCUCAGGAGGGGAAGCGUCAGUACAUGUUCCCUGUGUUUGUUCCUCCCACUUGUAUCGGCCUUGAUGUAAGAUCCCAGAAAGCAGGGCUGAGCCUUCUUUACCUCUGUGUCCCAAUCACGUUCUGCACAGCACCUCACCCAGAGUCGGAAUCUAGUGACUACCUGCCCUUUCAAUCCUUCGGGCGUGAAAGUUCGCCUUGGUACCUAGCUUAAAUGUCUCUUGCUGCAGUAGGAGGCUGUUCUUGGUGGAAUAAUAUCCUGAGGGGUCCAGCCAAGUUUCCCGCUGUGUUUGUGAAUCAAGCCCACCCCCUGAUCCCU